rnacentral:misc_RNA from 1 species
UGAGCACAGUGGUUAGUAAUGUUCUUUAAUAUCAAAUAAUGUCAUGAAAAUAAUUAACUUUAAAGUCUAAAAGAAAUGAAGUAAUUAUUACCAAAAGUGAAACAAAUAAUUCUAUUGUUUAACGUUCCGAGUGCUUAAGUUUUUUCAAAAAGUUUACAAUCUGCAAAACAUUUAAAUAAGUGUUAUCAAAGUGAAUUUCAAAGGUCAAAAGUUUAUGCUAAAAAAAGAAUGUCAAGAAAUAAAUUGACUUCUGGUGAACUGAUUUCAAAAUGUUGUGGUAAAACAAGCUAUAAAAUUGGAAGUAAUUGGUUGCAAUGGGGAAGACAUCUUGGCUUAAGUGAUUCAGAUCUCGAUAAUAUUGGCUCUGAUAAUGCGAAAAAUUAUGAGAAAGCUGAUAAUGUGUUAAAAAAGUGGAAGGAAAAAAACGGCAAUACUUCAUGGGAGCAACUAAAAAAAGAGUUGAUAGCUUUUGAGCGUUAUGAUAUAGUAGUUGAAAUUGAGAAAGAAUUUGGAGAUGAGUUAUUUAGUCAAGAAAAAAAAAGAUAUGAAGCUAUGGAUUUUGAUUUGUUUGAACAAGCAAGAAAAGAAAUUAAAAUAGAGAUGCAGUGCUUAAACAUUUACUUUCGAAAAAUAUUCUUGGUGCAACAUGGCUUUGCAGCUGAUUCUUCAAAUAUACCUAAAAUUGCUAGCAAAAUUCAUGUCAAAAAAGAUAUAUCAGAGAUAUGUGCAGCACUGAAAAACUAUUAUCUUGUAAAUAAUCGGAAAAUAAAUGAAGUUCAAACAUUACUAAAAACACCUGCAAAUGUUGAUCUGGUACAUACUUUUGUUGAUCUAUGUAUUGUUGAUGCAGUGAAUACUCAAUUGGAUUUUGUUUUUAGUGUUGAACGAAGAGAAUUUCUUAAAAAGCAAAUGAGUUAUACACCAAUCCCAUAUAGUGAAUUAUUUAUUAAAGAAAAAUCUGUAAUGUUAAUAUCUGGAAUAGCUGGUAUUGGGAAAACAUGGUUGCUCAGAAAAUGUUUACUUGAUUGGUCAAAUAGUUUAAUUUGGAAAAAUGUUGAACUUGUGUUUUAUUUGGAAUGCAGGAGACUUAAUCAAUAUCAAAAUGUUUCUAAUAUUAAUGAAUUACUUAAUAUUUUCUACAGUGACGUUAUAAACGAUUUUGAUAUCAACAAUCAUUCUGUUAUGUUUAUGAUUGAUGGAUUAGAUGAGUUUAAAUAUUUAAAUGAAUUAGUAAAUCCGACUUUGAAGUGUGAAUAUAAAAUUGUCAGUGUAUUAGCAGAUAUUAAAAAAUGUAAGCAUGUAGUUGCUGGUAGGGUUUAUGCAAUUGAUCAAUACCAAAGUAAAUAUACAGAGCAUAGUGAUAAGUCAACUAUUCAAAUAAUGGGUUUUAAUGAAAAUGGAAUCAACAAUUAUAUAGAAAACCACGUUAAAGAGGAAAAAAAAGAAGUUGUAAAAACAACUUUAAAGGAGUCACCUAUUGCAAAGGCCAUGGCAUCUGUUCCAUUUUACUUAUCUUCAAUGUGUAAAAUUAUUGGUGAUUCAAAUAAAAUAUAUACAAAUUCCUUCUUAACUAUGACAGAAUUGUAUGCAAAUAUUUUCUUAUACUUUUUGCAAAAACACGUCAUUAAAAACGAUAAGUUGAUUUACGUGAUAAUGGAAGACAGUUUUAAUAAAAAUAAUAUUUUAAAUGUUUGUAAAAUUGCUUAUCAGUUAUUUAUUGAAAAUAAAAUAAUAUUUUCCAAAGAAGAAAUUCAAAAUUUUAUCAAUGACUUUGAUCAAAAUGAUAGUAAUCUUUUUGGAUUUAUCGAAAAAGUUGAGACAAAUCUAGGCUGUUACUAUCAGUUUGCGCAUUUGACAAUAAUGGAGUUUUGUGUAUCUGUUUAUGCAUAUAAUUGUUUAAGUCGUAAAGAAAUUAUGGCCAAUAAAAAGUUAAGAAGUUGUUUAUCUAUGAUUUGUGGAUUAACAAACAAUAAAAGCCGAAAUAAUUUAAUAAAGUUUCUUGUUAACCUAAAUCGUUCAAAUGAGUCUUUACUUUGGUUUUCUAAUAUUGGAAACUUGUUCUCUGGGUACAGAAUGGUUGGUUGUACUGGAUUAGUAUGGAUAUUAGCAAUGCUUUAAUGAUGACUAUGUUGACUAUGAUGUGUAUAUGUCUCCUUAAUAUGAAUCUUUUUCUGAAUAUCGUCUAAAUGAAAGUAAUGACUAUGAGGACGAUUUGUUCAUUGAAUGUUUUUAUGAAAGUCAAUCAUCAUUUACAAAUGAAAUAAAAUCAAUUGUUGAUAAAAGAUGGUGGAUUAUUUCAAUUGACGAUAGAAAAACU